rnacentral:lncRNA from 1 species
GUCAAGUCUAAGUCGAAUCCAUCCUCUUGAUAUCUCCUUUUGUUUCUGCUAACGAUCUCUUUGAUGAUGGCUGUCAUGUCUGGGAGCCUGUGGCUGAAGAAAAAGGAGGAGAGAGAUGGCAGAAGCUGCUGGUGGCGGGGCUUCUUCUGCAGGAUGGAAAUGGCUCUGGACUUGGCGGUAGCUGAUGCCCCUCGCUCUGCCGCCGCUUGGCUCUGGACCGCAGCCGGGUAAUGGCUGCUGCGGCGGCUGCUGGAUGGUUGCAGCGACUGGGCCUGCUUCUCCUCAGCAGCCAGAGGCCUGGCAGCGGCGGCAGCGGAAUGGGGAGAAGACGAAUAAUCCUCCGAACGGCUGCCUCCGCCGGCGGCCUCCGGAGCCCGGGCCACGGGGGGUGCGGCGGCGGCGCACGGGAGGUUUAAAACCGGCCCGGGUCCCUGGAUGUGCCGCCGCCGCCGCCGCGCCUCAGCCGGCUCCCGCCCGAGCCCACGGCUUCCACCUUCCCUUUCAGGAGAAGCCGAGGAAGAGGCUGCACGGUUAGAAAAGACGAAGAGGAGGCGAGAAACGCCGCCGCUGCCGCCGCCGCAGGCCGGCCGGCUCCCCGAGGGCGCUGCCCCCGCGGCUGCUCACAGGCGCUGAGAGGGGCUCCGGGCCGCGGCCGCCGCCGUCUCUCAUCUCCCUCGCCUGAGCCCGGCCUCGCCUCACAGCGGCUCAACUCUCAAACUUCCAUCAUGGCUGCAGCUUCCGAGAGGAGAGAACUGAGCGCAGUCGCGUCCCAGCGCCGAGCGCGUAUCCUGCCGCAGCGCAUAAAGA